AGCAGCCGCGGUAAUUCCAGCUCCAAUAGCGUAUAUUAAAGUUGCUGCAGUUAAAAAGCUCGUAGUUGAAUUUCGGGACCAUCAUGUCGGUCGUGCCUAGGUACGUACUGGUAUUGUUGGUUUCUCCCUUCUGACGAACCAUGAUGUCAUUUAUUUGGUGUUGUGGGGAAUCAGGACUGUUACUUUGAAAAAUUGAGUGUUUAAAGCAGGCUCACGCUUGAAUACAUUAGCAUGGAAUAAUGAAAUAGGACGUUAAUCCUAUUUUGUUGGUUUCUAGGAUCGACGUAAUGAUUAAUAGGGAUAGUUGGGGCAUUAGUAUUCAAUUGUCAGAGGUGAAAUUCUUGGAUUUAUGAAGACUAACUACUGCGAAAGCAUUUGCCAAGGAUGUUUCAUUAAUCAAGAACGGAAGUUAGGGAUCGAAGACGAUCAGAUACCGUCGUAGU
rnacentral:rRNA from 1 species